rnacentral:rRNA from 1 species
UCUACGGGUGGCAGCAGUCGAGAAUCAUUCACAAUGGGGGAAACCCUGAUGGUGCGACGCCGCGUGGGGGAAUGAAGGUCUUCGGAUUGUAAACCCCUGUCAUGUGGGAGCAAAUUAAAAAGAUAGUACCACAAGAGGAAGAGACGGCUAACUCUGUGCCAGCAGCCGCGGUAAUACGGAGGUUUCAAGCGUUAUUCGGAAUCACUGGGCGUAAAGCGCGCGUAGGCGGUUUCGUAAGUCGGAGGUGAAAUCCGAGGGCUUAACCCGCGGACGGCACAUGAAACUGUGAGACUAGAGUAUGGGAGAGGGAGGCGGAAGUCUCGGUGUAGCAGUGAAAUCCGUAGAGAUCGAGAGGAACACUCGUGGCGAAGGCGGGUUCCUGGACAUUAACUGACGCUGAGGCACGAAGGCCAGGGGAGCGAAAGGGAUUAGAUACCCCUGUAGUC